rnacentral:rRNA from 1 species
GACGAGGGAUCCUAGCGUUGUUCGGAAUCAUUGGGCGUAAAGCGGGUGUAGGUGGAUCUAUAAGUCAGGUGUGAAAUCCCAGGGCUCAACCCUGGAAGUGCACUUGAUACUGUAGAUCUUGAGUGUGGUAGAGGUUACUGGAAUUCCUGGUGUAGUGGUGAAAUACGUAGAUAUCAGGAGGAAUACCGGAGGCGAAGGCGGGUAACUGGGCCAACACUGACACUGAGACCCGAAAGCGUGGGGAUCAAAC